rnacentral:rRNA from 1 species
AUUGAACGCUGGCGGCAUGCCUUACACAUGCAAGUCGAACGGUAACGGGCCUUCGGGUGCCGACGAGUGGCGAACGGGUGAGUAAUGCAUCGGAACGUACCUUUCAGUGGGGGAUAACGUAGCGAAAGUUACGCUAAUACCGCAUAUUCUGUGAGCAGGAAAGCAGGGGAUCGCAAGACCUUGCGCUGAUUGAGCGGCCGAUGUCAGAUUAGCUAGUUGGUGAGGUAAAGGCUCACCAAGGCGACGAUCUGUAGCGGGUCUGAGAGGAUGAUCCGCCACACUGGAACUGAGACACGGUCCAGACUCCUACGGGAGGCAGCAGUGGGGAAUUUUGGACAAUGGGGGCAACCCUGAUCCAGCCAUGCCGCGUGAGUGAAGAAGGCCUCGGGUUGUUAAAGACGUCUUUCGGUCCGGGAACGGAAA